rnacentral:rRNA from 1 species
CCUACGGGAGGCAGCAGUGGGGAAUAUUGCGCAAUGGGCGAAAGCCUGACGCAGCGACGCCGCGUGAGGGAUGAAUGUCCUCGGAUCGGAAACCUCUUUCAGUAGGGAAGUACGGUCACUGUGCUAAUCAGCUGUGUAUUGACGUUACCUACAAGGGAAGCCCCGGCUAACACCGUGCCAGCAGCCGCGGUAAUACGGAGGGAGCGUGCGUUAAUCGGAAUUACUGGGCGUAAAGCGAUCGUAGGCGGUAUGUCAAGUCAAGGGUGAAAUUCCGGGGCUGAACGUGGGAAUUGCCUUUGAAACUGGCAGACUGGAGUGCAGGAGAGGAAGGUGGAAUUCGAGGUGGAGGAGUGAAAUGCGUAGAUAUCAGGAAGAACACCAGUGGCGAAGGCGACCAUCUAAAAUGCCACUGACGCUGAUGAGCGAAAGCGUGGGUAUCAAACAGGAUUAGAUACCCCAGUAGUC